CCCCUGUGAGGCUGGGACGGCCCUGGUGAGGUUGAGACAGCCCCGGUGAGGCUGAGACGGCCCCGGUGAGGUUGCAACUGCCCCGGUGAGGAUGAAACGGCCCCGGUGAGGCUGAGACGGCCCCAAUGAGGCUGACACGGCCCCAGUGAGGUUGAAUCUGCCCCG